AGUUCCAUCAGCCCCCAGACCCCACCACCCAUCCCCUGGUCACUGUGGGCAGUGGAGGGAUGGCUGCCCAGCUGCCGGCUGACAAGGCCCUGGAGUUGGUGACAUUCAAAGAUGUGGCCGUGAACUUCACACAGGAGGAGUGGCAGCAGCUGGAGCCGGCUCAGAGGGGCCUGUACAAGGAUGUGAUGCUUGAGAACUUCCAGAACUUGAGCUCCCUGGAAAUGGAGACUGGAGAGGAAUGGCCCAGUGGAAGCUGUCCCUGCAGGAGUAUCCCCUGAGCUGGACCUGGAAGAUCUGGGAGGUGGCUGCCCCUGGGGCUGUGCAUCAGGAGAGGCCGGGACAGCUUCAGGAAGGGCCCCUUCAGAGCAUCAGCCAGGAGACCCCCAGCCAGGAAUUCCAGGAGGGAGGGGACCCCACAAGUGUGGCCCGCGGAAUGCCAACUGGGAGAGCCCCUGCCGUCACUGAGAAGUCCUGUGUGCCAGGAGUGCGGGGAGGCCUCUGCACACUGCACCGAGCUGGCGCAGCACCAGCGCGUGCACGCCCUGGACAAACCCUUCGCGUGGGGCGAGUGUGGGAGACGCUCCCGCAGGAAAGCCACGCUCACGGUGCACCGGCGCGUCCACACCGGCGAGAAGCCGUUCACGUGCGCCGAGGGCAGCAAGGCCUUCCGCCAGCUUGCCAACCUCACAGUGCACCGGCGCAUCCACAUGGACGAGUGGCCCUACCGGUGUGCCGAAUGCGGCCGCGCCUUCGCGCAGAACAAGCAGCUGCUCGGGCACCGGCGCACACACACCGGCGAGCGGCCCUACAAGUGCGGCGAGUGAGGCAAGGCCUUCACCCUCAUCACCAACCUGGUGGACCACCAGCGCAUCCACACCAGGGAGAAGCCCUUCGUGUGUGACCUGUGCGGUAAGCGCUUCACCAAGCGCUCCUCCCUCCUCGGGCACCAGUGGGCCGCCAGAGGCGACAGGCCCCACCCGUGCAGGGUGUGCGGGAAGGCCUUCCGCAAGAAAUCCGAGCGGGUCAACAACCACCGCACGCACACGGGCGAGCGGCCGUUCAAGUGCUACGAGUGCGGCAAGGCCUUCAGCCAGAAGGCGCAGCUCGUGGUGUACUGGUGCAACCACACGGGCGAGAAGCCUUUCCACUGCAAAGCCUGCGGGAGAUCCUACAGCCAGAAGGGCUACCUCACCGUGCACCGGCAGACCCAUACCGGAGAAAGACCAUUUGAGUGCACGGAGUGUGGCAAGACCUUCAGCCAGAAGGCGCACCUCUCCAUUCACCUGCAGAUCCACACGGGCGAGAAGCCCUUACCGCUGCGGCGAAUGCGGGAGAAGCUUCCGGAAGGUGUCCUUCCUACUCUAGCAUCAGGCCAUCCACAGUGACGAGAGGCCCUUCCAGUGUGGCGUGUGCAGCAAGGCCUUCGUGCGGAAGUCCACCCUGGUCCAGCACGGCCAAAUCCACACAGGGGAGAAGCCCUACCAGUGCGGGCAGUGUGGGAAAGACUUCCGGCACCAGCCCAUGCUGACGGCGCACCGGAGGAUCCCCACCAGGGAGUGGCCCUAUGAGUGCAAGGUGUGUGGCAAGGCCUUCAGGUGCAUCGGGAACCUCACCGGCCACCAGAAGACCCACGCUGCUGCGGGGGUGCCCGCCAGGGAGCCCAGCCUUCUGCCCACUCUCCCAGAUAACCUGUCACAGGUGAGGCCUGAGAUGGUGGCCAAGUUUCAGCCUCCUCCCGUCAUCACUUUAGAAUUAACUCAGGGACGUCAAGAGAUGCCCUUGGGGCUUGUGACACAUUCCUGAGAAUUCCCUCAGGACAGGCGACAGCUGCCGUACUUCAGCAGUGUGCGACCUGUGCAACCACACAGGGCCUGGCCCACGCUCGGUCUCACGCUCUGCAGUCACCAUUUUGAAAUGCUUAAUAACCUCUGGACAGAGGGCCCCAUAUUUUCAUGUUGCACCAGACUCCAAAAAUUAUCCCCGUUACCAGGGGAGAGAUUAGAUCAGGCAGGGGUUGGCAAACCACAGCCCGGGGGCCAGACCUGCUUUCACAUGGCCCCCAAGGUAAGAAUGGCUUUCACACUGUAAAAUAAAGUGAAGGGUUGUAAAAUAAAGCGAAAAGAAUAUGACACAGAGAGAGCUUUUGUGGCUUGCAAAGAAUACACAGUCUCUGGCCUUUUGCAAUAAAGGCUGGCCAACCCCUGCCAUCAACCAACAGUUAUUUGUGGAAUUCCACACCCUUCCUCAGCACAGGCUGGCAAAACCCGUUUGGUCUCAUGGUCCCUCUUGGUGGUUCCCUCAGGUGGGCUCCUGGGACUAAGUGGAGGAGACUGGCUGGCUCCGUUCUUUCAUUUCCCUCUAGGCCUUUUAAAAUAUAUAUUUAUUUAUUUAUUUUUGGCUGCAUUGGGUCUUUGUUGCUGCACGUGGGCUCUCUCUAGUUGCAGCGAGGGGUGGCUACUCUUCGUUUUGGUGCACGGGCUUCUCAUUGUGGUGGCUUUUCUUGUUGCGGAGCAUGGGCUCUAGGCGUGCGGGCUUCAGUAGUUGUGGCAUGUGGGCUCAAUGGCUGUGGUUCGCGGGCUCUAGAGUGCAGGCUCAGUAGUUGUGGCACAUGGACUUAGCUCCUCCACGGCAUGUGGGAUCUUCCCGGACCAGGGCUCGAACCUGUGUCCCCUGCAUUGGCAGGCGGAUUCUUAACCACUGGGCCACGAGGAAGCCCUUACUGUGGCUCAGACCAGCUGCUGUCCUUGGUGCUGAACAUCACCUGCGUACCUGGCACUUUACAGGGAAUAAACGUGAUUCUCCGUUAAAUGGCUGCUUAUUCACUGCAGGAUCUGGUGUCUCUGCCAGAAAGGUUUGUCCAGUGGGAGCUUGUUGUAGCUCACUCACUGUAUUCGUUUGCUCCGGCUGCCAUGGCAAAAGACCACAGACAGGGCAGUGGGCUUGAAUGGCAGAAAUCUAUUUUCUCACCGUCCGGGAUCAGGGUGUGAGCAGGGUUGAUUUCUCCUAAGGCCUCUCUCCUUGGUUUGCAGAUGGCGGCCCUCCUGUGGCCUCUUCACGUGGCUGUCCCUCUGCCCGUGUGCGGCCUGGCAUCUCUCUCUCUCUUCUUAGGACACCAGUCAUUGGAUUAGGGCCCACUCAUAUGACCUCACAGAACCCUAAUUAUCCCUUUAAAGGCCCUAUCUCCAAAUGCAGUCACAUUUUGAAGUUACUGGGUGUUAGGAUUUCAAUAUAUGAAUUUGGGGAGAACACAUGCAAUCUAUAACAUCCUUAAAUGGCUAGAAACUUAGCCUUUUGCAACUGUAGCUGCUGUCUACAUGUUACUGGAAAGCAUGAGCACCCACCUUGCAU